rnacentral:rRNA from 1 species
UACGAAGGGGGCUAGCGUUGCUCGGAAUUACUGGGCGUAAAGCGCACGUAGGCGGGUCGUUAAGUCGGGGGUGAAAUCCUGGAGCUCAACUCCAGAACUGCCUCCGAUACUGGCGACCUCGAGUCCGGGAGAGGUGAGUGGAACUGCGAGUGUAGAGGUGAAAUUCGUAGAUAUUCGCAAGAACACCAAUUGCGAAGGCAGCUCGCUACACAUAUAUUGACUCUGAGGCACGAAAGCGUGGGGAUCAAACAGG